UAAAGAUCGAUUAGUCAACAUAGAACUUACCAAUGUUUACUGGACAAUCAUGGUAACUUAUUUGAUCUCUCACAAUGUAAAACGAAUAGGCCAUCCAGAUGUGGAAGGAGAUGAAGAAGGUGGGGAGCAGAGUGUAAAAUGGAUCCGUUUGGAGGCAAGAUAUUUGGAUAUUCAUCAAAUCUCUGAAUAUCUGAUACGACAUUCACUAAUUCACGGAUGGGAUAAAUGCAGAGACCAAAUUCCUUGUAUAGUGUGCAUUUACGUAAGGUGCAUGAUGCCAGGAGAACUACAGGAUCCUCUUACCCAAGGUGUUCAUACUGUGGAGCGUUUUAGGAAGAGACUUCUGUCUGUCUGUGUCCACCAUUCUGACCUUUCUCAGGGAGUCUUUCUGAGUGAAAGACAGAAAAAUUCUGACUUCAGAAGCAUUUCCCUGCAAUGAAGAUUACUGGGCAUGAAGUACAAGUUGCAUGUUGAUGCUGAUGAUGUUAAAGGAAUGAAACUGCUCUGGCGAAGAGAUGACCAAUGAUGCCUCACAAAUUGAGGGGAAACUGGAUGAGUUCAUCAGGGAAACUGGCUACUGGGCCAUUCAUAUCAUGGCCAGUUGUUUGCACAUGCACAUUGAGAAAUAAAACCGGA